AUUGAACGCUGGCGGCAUGCCUUACACAUGCAAGUCGAACGGUAACGCGGGGCAACCUGGCGACGAGUGGCGAACGGGUGAGUAAUGCAUCGGAACGUGCCCAGUGGUGGGGGAUAGCCCGGCGAAAGCCGGAUUAAUACCGCAUACGACCUUCGGGUGAAAGGGGGGGAUCGCAAGACCUCUCGCUAUUGGAGCGGCCGAUGUCAGAUUAGGUAGUUGGUGGGGUAAAAGCCUACCAAGCCGACGAUCUGUAGCUGGUCUGAGAGGACGACCAGCCACACUGGGACUGAGACACGGCCCAGACUCCUACGGGAGGCAGCAGUGGGGAAUUUUGGACAAUGGGCGCAAGCCUGAUCCAGCCAUGCCGCGUGCGGGAAGAAGGCCUUCGGGUUGUAAACCGCUUUUGUCAGGGAAGAAACGCUUCGAGCUAAUACCUCGGAGUAAUGACGGUACCUGAAGAAUAAGCACCGGCUAACUACGUGCCAGCAGCCGCGGUAA
rnacentral:rRNA from 1 species